rnacentral:rRNA from 1 species
GACAGAGGUGCCGAGCGUUAGGCGGAAUCACUGGGCUUAAAGCGUGUGUAGGCGGGUCGUUAAGUGUCUUGUGAAAUCCCACCGCUCAACGGUGGAACUGCUGGGCAUACUGGCGAUCUUGAGCCACCUAGGGGCAGACGGAACAAGCGGUGGAGCGGUGAAAUUCGUAGAUAUUCGCAAGAACACCAGUGGCGAAGGCGGCUCACUGGCCCGAUACUGACGCUGAGGUGCGAAAGCGUGGGGAGCAAACAGG